UGGGCGUAAAGCGCGCGUAGGUGGCUUGAUAAGCCGGUUGUGAAAGCCCCGGGCUCAACCUGGGAACGGCAUCCGGAACUGUCAAGCUAGAGUGCAGGAGAGGAAGGUAGAAUUCCCGGUGUAGCGGUGAAAUGCGUAGAGAUCGGGAGGAAUACCAGUGGCGAAGGCGGCCUUCUGGACUGACACUGACACUGAGGUGCGAAAGCGUGGGUAGCAAACAGGAUUAGAUACCCCUGGUAGUCCACGCCGUAAACGAUGUCGACCAGCCGUUGGGUGCCUAGCGCACUUUGUGGCGAAGUUAACGCGAUAAGUCGACCGCCUGGGGAGUACGGCCGCAAGGUUAAAACUCAAAUGAAUUGACGGGGGCCCGCACAAGCGGUGGAGCAUGUGGUUUAAUUCGAUGCAACGCGAAAAACCUUACCUACUCUUGACAUCCUGCGAAUUCGGUAGAGAUACCUUAGUGCCUUCGGGAACGCAGAGACAGGUGCUGCAUGGCUGUCGUCAGCUCGUGUUGUGAAAUGUUGGGUUAAGUCCCGUAACGAGCGCAACCCUUGUCCUUAUUUGCCAGCGCGUAAUGGCGGGAACUCUAAGGAGACUGCCGGUGACAAACCGGAGGAAGGUGGGGACGACGUCAAGUCAUCAUGGCCCUUACGAGUAGGGCUACACACGUGCUACAAUGGUCGGUACAAAGGGUUGCGAGCUCGCGAGAGUCAGCCAAUCCCGAAAAGCCGAUCUCAGUCCGGAUCGGAGUCUGCAACUCGACUCCGUGAAGUCGGAAUCGCUAGUAAUCGUAGAUCAGAAUGCUACGGUGAAUACGUUCCCGGGCCUUGUACACACCGCCC
rnacentral:rRNA from 1 species